CCAAAUGUGAACCUCCCAUCCGGAGCAAAACCAGUGUGUCGCGAAUGGCCGAGCUGUAAAGUGGCGCUUCCACAGAUGGAGAGUUUGGACUAGCGUCUGACCUCUUGGAAGUGUCCGUUCGGUCGUCAGUUCGCAAGAACUGAGGCGUCCUUUUGCUUCAGAUGCGGUAUAAAUGUCCGCCCAUCUGCGGUCGCCUAUUGUUUUACCCUUUCAUUAACCCUUUGUAACUUCAAUUGAACUGAACUAAUGUGACACUGGCAGCGGCUGUUCUUGUUGGCUUCGGUCACGAACGGUACUCCAAACGCCGUCUUGUUGCAACAUAUUACGAAACGCACGAACAACUCUUAACAACGGAUAUCUUGGUUCUCGUAACGAUGAAGAACGCAGCAAAAUGCGAUACGUAAUGCGAAUUGCAGAAUUCAGUGAAUCAUCAAAUCUUUGAACGCAAAUUGCGCUCUCGGGAUAGGCCUGAGAGCACGCCUCUUUGAGCAUCGAUUCUACCACAAGUCGACGACGUCCUUGCAAAAGGAUGCGCAGUCGGACACUGAGCUUCGUCAGCCUCUGGCUGGCUUGCUUUAAAUAGAGCGAGAUGCACUGCGACUUACUGAACAGAUCAGUGAGCGAUCGGUGACGUGGAUAACUUCACGCUUCGUGAACCUUCCAAUACGUGACUGACUGCUCGUAUGCUGUUCUGAUCGGUGGUCGCAAUUGCAGCCGAACGUCACGAAAGUGACAACUCUUUUGAAUUAGAUCUCAAAUGAAGCGAGAAAACCCGCUGAACUUAAGCAUAUCAUA
rnacentral:rRNA from 1 species